CGCAACACGUACACAACCUUCCUUUGAGAGGGGGAUAGCCCAGAGAAAUUUGGAUUAAUACCCCGUAAUAUUAUUGAAUGGCAUCAUUUAGUAAUUAAAGCUAAGGCGCUUGAAGAUGGGUGUGCGUCUGAUUAGGUAGUUGGUGCGGGUAAAGGCCCACCAAGCCUUCGAUCAGUAACUGGUGUGAGAGCACGACCAGUCACACGGGCACUGAGACACGGGCCCG
rnacentral:rRNA from 1 species